GGGAGAGUCGUGCACUGUGACGCAGCUGAUGACGUUUUUUCUUUGCUUGGAGACAGUGCUGGGAAGGGGAAGGGAGAAGUGAGGAUCAAGAGGGUGAUACACGACACCAGCAGUGUGUGUGUGUGUGUGUGUGCGCUUGUGUGGGUGC